rnacentral:snRNA from 1 species
UUUCUCUUCAGAUCGUAUAAAUCUUUCGCCUUUUACUAAAGAUUUCCGUGGAGAGGNUUUACCCAAUUUUUUGAUGCCCUGCGCAAGUGGGGCU